GCCCUAGUGGAGUAGCUCAGUUGGUUAGAGCAUUGGCCCAGUAUGCCAAAGUUGCAGGUUCAAUCCCUGGUCAGGGCA